rnacentral:rRNA from 1 species
GAUGAACGCUGGCGGCGUGCCUAAUACAUGCAAGUCGAGCGAAGCGGGGACGGGUGAGUAACACGUGGAUGACCUCCUAUAAGACGGGGGUAAAUUCGGGAAACCGGAGCUAAACCGGAAUCUGAUCGAUGGAUCCGCGCUGCAUUAGCUAGGUGGUAAGGUAACGGCUUACCAAGGCAACGAUGCAUAGCCGACCUGAGAGGGUGAUCGGCCACACUGGAACUGAGAAACUGUCCAGACUCCUACGGGAGGAAGCAGUAGGUAAUCUUCCGCAAUGGGCGAAAGCCUGACGGAGCAACGCCGCGUGUGUUAUGAAGGUUUUCGGAUCGUAAAAUUCUGUUAUUAGGGAAGCGGUACCUAAUCAGAAAGCCACGGCUAACUACGUGCCAGCAGCCGCGGUAAUUC